ACAAACUUGGUCAUUUAGAGGAAGUAAAAGUCGUAACAAGGUUUCCGUAGGUGAACCUGCGGAAGGAUCAUUAUCGAGUUAGGGUCUCUUGGCCCAACCUCCAACCCUUUGUCUACCUGACCACAUGUUGCUUUGGCGAGCCAGCCUCUAUUGAGUUAGGGGCCGCCAGUGGGUUUAACCGCCCCUGGAGCCGUGCUUGCCAAUGGCCUCUAUUUAAACUAUUGCUGAAAUGUGGCGUCUUAUCAACAAACAUUUAAAAGCAAAAAACUUUCAACAACGGAUCUCUUGGUUCUGGCAUCGAUGAAGAACGCAGC
rnacentral:misc_RNA from 1 species